CUUGCACAUGCACCUUCUCAAGAAGCAGGUGCUGCUGCCUGGGGAUUCUUUCCUGCCGGCUGCCCCCUGCUAUUCAUUAAAAGGUCAAGUAUCAGCAGAUUUUUAAACACACCACAACCUUAUGAAAAUCUGAAACACAGUGGCUGAAGACUGUGAGAAAAAGAGCUACAAAGACAAUUACAAAGAGCUCUCCAAGAAGGCGGAAAGGAGGAAGCAAAGUGGGACAGGUGCCAUGGGACAUAUUCUUCUUUCAUGGACAUAUUGUGAUUCCAGUUCCCACAAGAUGGUCCCAGGUCCCAGGCUCUGGUAACAGCACUCUUUGUCCCACCAGCCCUAGGAGAGGGAGCAGUUCCUGCUGGUGCUAAACUCUGAGCUGCCUCAUCACCUCUGCUGGAACGUCCUAACUCUACUAUCAUCUAUGAAACCAGUUCUCUGCAUUAAAUUUCCUUUCGAAAUACCUAAAGGGCUUUGCAUUUUUCUGGAUAUACAGAGAAUGGUGCCCUAUGCCCUCUUCCCACAGUAAUAAAAAACCACACCGUCUGCCCUACCUUUCUUGCACUAAACAUACUAAGUACUGCUAUGCCUCUGGGCUUUCAUUCACAUAGCUCCCUCAGCCUGGAAUGUCAUCCUUUCCCCUGUCUUUCAGCCAGACCUCACUCAUCCCCUAAGGCUCAGCCCAAAGUCUGUCUUCUCCAGGAGCUUUCCUCUAAUUCUCACACAUAUUCGCCCCCAGUCUGUAUUCCAAUCUCAUCUAGACAGAAAAUGGGUAGCCCAAUGCCCUUUGUGUCAAGUAUUGAAUAAAACACCCUAGGGAAACGCUCAUCUUAAAUCCAUCAACCAACACCUUACUGGUCAUUAGGUUAUCUUUGUUUCCUACUUUGAAAGGCUGAGAGGUAGUCACCUAAUCAUAGAGCCUUUUCUGACCACCCUGUAUCAAUACUUUCCCUUUUUUCCCAAUUCCCAUCCUACCUCUACCUCUUUCCAACCACUUAGUGAACUUUCACUUUAGAUUCUUACUAGAGUGUAAAAGUCAUGUGAGUAGGAAUUUUGUCUGUUUUGUUACCUGCAACAUUCUGAUCACCUGGAAUAGUACCUAUAUAUUGAAUGAACAAAUAAACGAAUGACCAUGACCUUUGCUUUGGGUGACGGAAGGCAGGGGAAGGGAUGAAAAUCGUUGGGAGGAAGACACCAAUUUUGUCUCUAGACUCAUAUGACUUUUUCUCUCUAGCUUAGAAAGCUCUGGCCUCACUGGCAUUUCUCAGAUUCUUGGACCCACUACAAUUCACUAAACUGAAGCUCCUUUUCAUCUUUAGAUCUUAGUUUGAAUGUUUCCCAUUUUCUCUCCCCCUUGUAUGUUUCCUUCCUAAUGUUUGAUUCUUGAUUCCAGCUCAGGUCAUGAUCUCAUGGUCAUAGGAUCUAGCCCUGCAUUGGGCUCUGCUCUAGGUGUGGAGCCUGCUUAAGAUUCUUUCUCCCUUCUUUUCUCCCUCUGCUCUCCCUGGCUCACACAUGCACAUGCACACACUCUCUCUCAAAAAAGAUUUUUUUUGUCAUGUAUUGAUUCUCUCUUUAGACUAUUAGAUCCAUUUGGGUUAGGGCCAUGUAUCCCUAAAAUCUAUGCCUGGCACAUAAUAGGUACUCAGUGGAAAAAAAUGCAAAGAAUGUUGUUGAGUGCACCAGGAACAAACCUUGCUUCAGUUUUAAUCAAGGUCUACUAGGUUGAGCACCAUUUAAUUACUGGGGCCAAACCACAAAAUAGAAAAUUCCCUAGCAGUCAUACUAGGAGGUUUCUACUUACCCCAGUUGUAUUCACACUAGAAAGCCCCACCCCCACCCCCACUAUUCUAUUUGCACAAGUGAGACCCUAUUCAUCAAAUGCCCCUAUUUAGGAAGAGUUGUAUACUACAGCUGGGAUCGUUCUGUCAACCAUUGGCUGAAUAUACACAAAUAAUGGGGAAAGUACUCUGAAGAUACUUAGAAGAUGCCCUUGGGCAUCUCCCAUGUGAUCUGCAUUUGCAUUGAUUGCCAAAGACAAUUUCAAGCUAAUUUUAUUAAUUUCAAAUAAAGACUUGUAAUUUUAUGUGGGGGACAUGGCAUUAGCAGGAAUUCAACUCCCAUUCUUUCAUGAAGCCAAAGAUUUAGCUUCUAUCACUUCUUGGCUUUUUGGCUAAGAUUGAGUGUAAAGAUGUAGCUUCUGAGACCAUACGUAUAUUCCAUUAUCAGGUUUUAAGAGAAAUGAGAAACACACUGAAUUUUUUGCAGCUUAGCCCCAUAUUCUGAAUCUGUUUUUCAUUCCCACUUAGCUUGCCUUGUUAAAAAAAAUUAUAAGUUAAGAUUUCUAUGUUUACUAAUUUCAUCUAUUACCGGUACAAUCUCCAGAGCUAAUAGUGCUGUUCUUCUUCCCCAUAUUACAUGAGUUCAGUAACAAUUUAUUUGAAUAUACAUGGCAGACAUUCCAUGCUUAAUAAAUCUUUAACAAAGUACUGUUAUUUGCCAGUCAUUUUGUUUUUAUGAAGAAAAUUGACAAACAAUGACAUUUUCAUGAUUUUGUAAAUAAUGCAUUCUUUGCUGGGUAAUCAGAAUGCCAAUAAAUUCCCUUUGGAUUUUUUAAACUUUUUAAUGAGUUCACUUUUGCAUUCAGGUGCCUUUUAAUACCUCCUUUCUCUUCAGUUUGGUAACAAAUGGCUGCACAUUCUUGCUCCAGUUCAGCAACCGUUCUUUUUAAAGGCAGGGCAAGUCAAAGUUGAGUCCUGUGUGUCCUGCCCCAGCGUGCAGGUGCAUUUGCAGAAACCAACCCCCAGGGGUCAGAAUUCACAAACUAGAAGUGGCCUCAGGCUUCAUUAUUAGCUCAAGAACCCUCAGCGCUUUUAAUCUGGAGAGUAACCUCUUCUCUGUUGUGAGAGAACUGGGAUUUUCCCCAAAGGAUCUUUGGCUUCUCUUCACCUCCUGAUAGAGGAGUCAGUCCAGAUGACAAAGACAGAAGACAUGUCAAAAUCAUCACGAGUAGGCUAAGGAACCUUUUGUAUAUUGCACAAAAAUGCUCCUGACUUGACAAUUUUGGUAGCUACUUUAAGUCUUUCCUAAUCCUUUAACAAGGAAGAACGUUCUUUGCUGAUGUACCAACUUGGAACAAAUAGACCCUAUGUUCACACUGACAGAAUUCUUCCUCCUUGUUAUGAGACUACUGUAUGUAUCUUCUUAGAAAAAAACAUGUUUUUAAUAUAUUUUUUAAAAUUAUAAUUGAUAAACACUUCAGAAAACCAUCACAGGAGUACUCACAGGAGUACAUUUGUAUGUGACAUCAAUUACAGAGUGCAGCAAAGGCAAACAGUUGAGAAGGGCUUAAUGCUUUAAAUGUUCAUGGUAUCAAAAUUUCUCAUUAUCACUUACUACCUCUUGGUGGGUAUUCCUGUUAGAAGGUGAGUUUCUUCUUUAUUUAAUUUUAUUUACUUAUUUUGAGAGAGAGAGAGAGAACAUGCCAGCAAGCAGGGGAGGGGAAGAGAGAGAGCGAGAAAGAG